rnacentral:tRNA from 1 species
GGGGGCACUGGAACCGGUAGUUCCCUGCGGUCUGCAAAACCGUACGCUUUUCUGAGAACCAGAUGGUUAGUGGGUUCGACUCCCACGUGCCCCCUCCA